rnacentral:tRNA from 1 species
GCCAGUGUAGUUUAAUGGUAGAACAAUAAUUUCAUGAAUUAAGAAUGAGAAUUCGAUUUUCUCCUCUGGCU